rnacentral:rRNA from 1 species
CUACGGGUUGCUGCAGUGAGGAAUAUUGCACAAUGGGGGGAACCCUGAUGCAGCAACGCCGCGUGGAGGAUGACGCAUUUCGGUGUGUAAACUCCUUUUAUAUGUCAAGAAAAUGACGGUAGCAUAUGAAUAAGCACCGGCUAACUCCGUGCCAGCAGCCGCGGUAAUACGGAGGGUGCAAGCGUUACUCGGAAUCACUGGGCGUAAAGGACGCGUAGGCGGGUUGGAAAGUCAGGUGUGAAAUCCUACAGCUUAACUGUAGAACUGCACUUGAAACUUCUAAGCUAGAGUAUGGGAGGGGGAGAUGGAAUUAGUGGUGUAGGGGUAAAAUCCGUAGAUAUCACUAGGAAUACCUAAAGCGAAGGCGAUCUCCUGGAACAUUACUGACGCUAAGGCGUGAAAGCGUGGGAAGCAAACAGGAUUAGAUACCCCUGUAGUC